rnacentral:rRNA from 1 species
GGGUAGUCCCAGCUGUAAACGAUGCGGGCUAAGUGUCGGAACGGCCUAGAGCCGUUCCGGUGCUGCAGGGAAGCCGUUAAGCCCGCCGCCUGGGGAGUACGGCCGCAAGGCUGAAACUUAAAGGAAUUGGCGGGGGAGCACCACAAGGGGUGAAGCUUGCGGUUCAAUUGGAGUCAACGCCGGGAAACUUACCGGGGGAGACAGCUGGAUGAAGGUCAGAUUGAAGGUCUUACCAGACUAGCUGAGAGGAGGUGCAUGGCCGUCGCCAGCUCGUGCCGUGAGGUAUCCCGUUAAGUCGGGCAACGAGCGAGACCCACACCCCUAGUUGCUAACGGAUCCCGAAAGGGUUCCGUGCACUCUAGGGGGACUGCCGCCGAUAAGGCGGAGGAAGGAGUGGGCCACGGCAGGUCAGUAUGCCCCGAAUCCCCCGGGCACACGUGAGCUGCAAUGGCGGGGACAAUGGGGAUCCGGACCCCGAAAGGGGGAAGGUAAUCCCCAAACCCCGCCUCAGUUGGGGAUCGAGGGGCUGAAACCCGUCUCGUGAACAUGGAAUCCCUAGUAAUC